rnacentral:lncRNA from 1 species
CCCAGGUGCAGCUGGUGCAGUCUGGCCAUGAGGUGAAGCAGCCUGGGGCCUCAGUGAAGGUCUCCUGCAAGGCUUCUGGUUACACUUGAACCCAGAAACAGAACUCUCCACCCUAAAUAAAUUAACUGGGCGUGGUGGUGGGUGCCUGUAAUCGCAGCUAUUCGGGAGGCUGAGGCAGAGAAUUGCUUGAACCUGGGAGGUGAAGGUUGCAGUGAGCCGAGAUCACGCCACUCCCCCCCAGCCCUUUGGGAGGCCGAGGCGGGCAGAUCACCUGAGGUCUGGAGUUCCAC